AUGCCAACGUAGAAAUGACCGGCGCAGGUCAAAGUGUAGUACCUGUUCUCAACCGCAACAAGUUGCAUUUGGAUCUAAGAUAUAAGACAUAUUUUUGAAAAUUGACAGAGUGCUUAAAACCUGCUUCACCUCCGCCGCGGGUCAGCCCGCUAUUGUACUAUUUUCGUUAUCGGCCCACUCAUG